GUGCAAGGAAGACGGAAUUGGCUGAAUCUUGCAAUAUGUCCGAGACUGACAACAUACCACAUAGUGCCGGUGCCACUGGUACUGAUGCAAGCAAUGGAGCUUCUCAACCUGCAGCUGAUGUUACACCUGAGAGUAAGGCUGUCACGAAAGCAAGGGUCAAGAGGUCGAAGAUAUAGAAGCACUUCAAAGUU